rnacentral:rRNA from 1 species
CUUAGUGGCGGACGGGUGAGUAACGCGUGGGUAACCUGCCUUAUACAGGGGGAUAACACUUAGAAAUAGGUGCUAAAACCGCAUAAGCGCACAGCUUCGCAUGAAGCGGUGUGAAAAACUCCGGUGGUGUAAGAUGGACCCGCGUCUGAUUAGCUUGUUGGCGGGGUAACGGCCCACCAAGGCGACGAUCAGUAGCCGGCCUGAGAGGGCGGACGGCCACAUUGGGACUGAGACACGGCCCAGACUCCUACGGAAGGCAGCAG